rnacentral:rRNA from 1 species
GAGUUUGAUCGUGGCUCAGAACGAACGCUGGCGGCAUGCCUAACACAUGCAAGUCGAACGAAGUCUUCGGACUUAGUGGCGCACGGGUGCGUAACGCGUGGGAAUCUGCCCUUGGGUACGGAAUAACUCAGAGAAAUUUGUGCUAAUACCGUAUAAUGUCUUCGGACCAAAGAUUUAUCGCCCAAGGAUGAGCCCGCGUAAGAUUAGCUAGUUGGUGAGGUAAGAGCUCACCAAGGCGACGAUCUUUAGCUGGUCUGAGAGGAUGAUCAGCCACACUGGGACUGAGACACGGCCCAGACUCCUACGGGAGGCAGCAGUGGGGAAUAUUGGACAAUGGGCGAAAGCCUCGAUCCAGCAAUGCCGCGUUGAGUGAUGAAGGCCUUA